rnacentral:rRNA from 1 species
AUGGCGCGGGGGGAGGUGGAGGUGGUGCUGACGCUGCUCUUCAACCUGCUGCUGCUGGUGUUCCUGGUGAAGCUCCUGGUGGCCAUGUUCAGCACCAAGCUCGCCGUCAUCCUGCUCUACCUCGCCCUCCUCCUCUUCGCCAUGGCCCUCUCCGGCCGCUUCCCCGGCGGCGAGUUCCUCUGA